rnacentral:rRNA from 1 species
CCUACGGGUGGCAGCAGUGAGGAAUAUUGGUCAAUGGGCGCGAGCCUGAACCAGCCAAGUAGCGUGAAGGAUGACUGCCCUAUGGGUUGUAAACUUCUUUUAUAAGGGAGUAAAGUGAGGCACGUGUGCCUGUUUGUAUGUAACUUAUGAAUAAGGAUCGGCUAACUCCGUGCCAGCAGGCGCGGUAAUACGGAGGAUCCGAGCGUUAUCCGGAUUUAUUGGGUUUAAAGGGAGCGUAGAUGGGUUGUUAAGUCAGUUGUGAAAGUUUGCGGCUCAACCGUAAAAUUGCCAUUGAUACUGGCAGUCUUGAGUACAGUUGAGGUAGGCGGAAUGCGUGGUGUAGCGGUGAAAUGCUUAGAUAUCACGAAGAACUCCGAUUGCGAAGGCAGCUUACUAACCUGCCACUGACGUUGAGGCUCGAAAGCGUGGGUAUCAAACAGGAUUAGAUACCCUUGUAGUC